AUUGAACGCUGGCGGCAGGCCUAACACAUGCAAGUCGAACGAGUGGCGGACGGGUGAGUAAUGUCUGGGAAACUGCCUGAUGGAGGGGGAUAACUACGGGAAACGGUAGAUAAUACCGCAUAACAGCGGAAGUGCCCAGAUGGGAUUCGCUAGUGGUAGGGGUAAAGGCUCACCUAGGAGACGAUCCCUAGCUGGUCUGCGAGGAUGACCAGCCACAGUGUGACUGAGACACGGUCCAGACUCCUACGGGAGGCAGCAGUGGGGAAUAUUGCACAAUGGGCGCAAGCCUGAUGCAGCCAUGCCGCGUGUAUGAAGAAGGCCUUCGGGUUGUAAAGUACUUUCAGCGGGGAGGCGUUACCCGCAGAAGAAGCACCGGCUAACUCCGUGCCAGCAGCCGCGGUAAUAC
rnacentral:rRNA from 1 species